UACGUAGGUGGCGAGCGUUGUCCGGAUUUACUGGGCGUAAAGAGCGCGCAGGCGGUUGAUCAAGUCGCAUGUGAAAGCCCCCGGCUCAACUGGGGAGGGUCAUUCGAUACUGUUCAACUUGAAGGCAGGAGAGGGAAGUGGAAUUCCCGGUGUAGGGGUGAAAUGCGUAGAUAUCGGGAGGAACACCAGUGGCGAAGGCGAGUUCCUGGCCUGUUCUUGACGCUGAGGCGCGAAAGCUGGGGGAGCAAACGGG
rnacentral:rRNA from 1 species